GACGAACGCUGGCGGCGUGCUUAACACAUGCAAGUCGAACGAGUGGCGAACGGGUGAGUAAUACGUGGGUAACCUGCCCUCUUUUUGGGAUAAGCCUUGGAAACGGGGUCUAAUACCGAAUACAGGGGGAUGGGCUCGCGGCCUAUCAGCUUGUUGGUGGGGUGAUGGCCUACCAAGGCGGUGACGGGUUGCCGGCCUGGGAGGGUGACCGGCGACAUUGGGAGUGAGAUACGUCCCAGACUCCCACGGGUGGCAGAUGUUGGAGAUAUUGCACAAUGGGGUAAAGCCUGAUGCGGCGACGCCGCGUGGGGGAUGAAGGCUUUCAGGUGGUAAACCUCUGUCGCUGGCGAACGGGUAGGUGGAGAAUAAGCGCCGGCUAACUACGUGCCAGCAGCCGCGGUAAUUC
rnacentral:rRNA from 1 species